GUGGAUCUUUGUAAAUUGAGAUUGAAGAACUGCUAAUGCAGAGAUUGUUAACAUAGUAACUAUGUUUUAAAUGUAAAAUCUAAAUGAACCAAAAGCUCAUGUAGAGGUUUCUUUGCCUUUUGUUUAAGCAUUGGAUGUUUUUCUUGCUGGGUGGAGGGGCUGUUGGGUUGAUAUUAAUCUGUGAACUUGGAUCUGAUACAGAAUUUUAUUUUACCCAGAGUAUCAUUUCCCCCAAGUCCCCUGAAAAGCAUAGUCUACAUAGGCAAUUUUCUUAUUUAAUAUAAAGGAGAUAUUCAAUAAUCUCUCCUGAUCUUACUGAUUUGCAUGCCAUUUCCAUGAAGAUAUAAAAUAAUGUGUCUCUGUUGUAAAGGGGGGAAGGGUAUUGAUAUGUAGUGUCUAAAUUUGAUAAGAGUAAGGAUAGUUUAGUGUUCAUGAACCAAAUAUUUGGUAUCACAUAUUCACUCUGUAGAAAGUUUUGCUCAAAACUGAUAUUUUAGAACAAGUUAAGAAACAAACAUCUUAGCCUUUGCCAUAAUCUGGAUUGGAUGGAAUUUUUACUUUGGCUCUCUCUAAACAGAAGUACUGCUGGAUUCAGUGGCACAUGUCUGUAAAUCCCAGUGACUUGAAAAGACUGA
rnacentral:lncRNA from 1 species